rnacentral:rRNA from 1 species
GAUGAACGCUGGCGGCGUGCCUAAUACAUGCAAGUCGAGCGGUAAGGCUCCUGCAGGUAAUUUGAUGAAGCCAGGUCGCGAAAUUUCUUAGAAAUUUCGCAUCACCAACGAAGAAGGAACGAUGGCUAUCGUUCUCCUACGGAAAGUGAAGUACCUGCUAAUAAACCUUCUAUUUAAGAAGGCGAAAUCAAAUUGCGUGCUGGAGUACACGAGCGGCGGACGGCUUAGAACGCGUAGGAACGUACCCCAAACUGAGGGAUAAGCACCAG